ACAGCUGUGCCCUCAGCGUCCUUCCUUCCUAGAUCAUGUAACGUGCUUCUCAGGACAGGAGGAGCCACCUCAAGGGAAGGCAGAUUUUCUCCAGGAGCUGAUGGUCAUCCAGGGAGAGCAGAGUCAAGGACUGCAGAGAGCCAGCCCGCUUCCGCUCUCCCUCUCAGGGACACCUUGGACCCCACACCCCCACCCCCCUCCCGGUGCCCCCCAGAGGUUCCCAUUGUAGCCUUGGAGGCCGCGCAUGCGCAGGACUGGCUCUCAGAGCGGCAGAGGGGAUGGCGAGCUGGAGAGCCCCGGGGAACGUGCACUGGAGGCGGGGUCCCUGGUGCGGAGGUGGCCUCCUCGGAGGUUUGUGUGGGGGGAUGGGCGGUUUCUGGAUCCUUCCUCCAGGAUUUUCAGCGCUGGGGAGCUCUCCUUUCUGCAGUGUGGCGGAGCGCUGGGCAGGAGGCGGCGCUGAGUUUGGUGGCAGCAGUGGGAUCCAAAGGAGACGCCUGAUGGCUUCGAGGAUGAGAAACAGUCAUUGGUACCAGCAAAACCUUUGAGUUCUCCAUCUUUUUCACUGUUUCUGAGGGCUGUGGCGUCAGCUGCAGAGCUCCAGCCAGCGGCAGAAGAAGAGCAGUGGGCAGUGGUGGAGGUAGAGCUGGCUCCAGCUCCGUUGACACCACCCCCUCUAGCACUGGAGCCAGUGUCCCCUCCACCAGCAGUGUUGGAGGUGGAGCAAGGGCCAACAUGGGCUCCAGCAGGAGUAGGAGCUGCUUAGCUAG